rnacentral:tRNA from 1 species
AAGGAUUUAGCUUAAGUAAAGUAAUUGGUUUGCGUCCAAUUGAUGUAAGAUAGAGUCUUGCCAUCCUUA